CCUUGUACACACUGCCCGUCACACCACGAGAGUUGAUUCAUCCAGAAGUGGAUUCAAUAAGAGUCCCCCAAGGAUGGGUUGAUGAUUGGGGUG
rnacentral:rRNA from 1 species